AUGAAGUACAACUGCCACAUCAAUGUAGAAGCUUGCUCGAGCAUCAAGGCAGUGAAGUAUUUGUUCAAGUACAUUUACAAGGGACAUGACCGAACAUCAUUUUCAUUUGAGCAGGAUGUCAUCAACAAUGGGGGCGUCAUUAAUGAGAUCCGACAAUACCGAGAUGCACGAUAUGUAUCACCUCCAGAGGCUAUCAAUAGGAUUUUACGCUUUAAACUGUUUGGAAUUAGUCCUUCAGUCUUGCAGUUGCAACUUCAUUUGCCAGACAUGCACAUGGUCGCAUUUAAAGCCGAUGAGAAUCUGAAAGAUGUUGUUGAUAAGCCAUCUACUUCUAGAACCAUGCUUACUGAGUACUUCGAAAUGAAUCGAAAGAAUCCUUAUGCACGACAAUGGCUGUACGGAGAAUUUCCGGAACACUUCAGAUGGGAUGCAUCAAAGAAGAGAUGGUAUAAAAGAAAACAAAGGCCACAGAUUGGUAGAAUUGUGUAUGCACACCCUGCUGAGGAGGAGAGGUACUAUUUGCGGGUGCUAUUGAAUCAUGUCCGAGGUGCGGCAUCAUAUGAUGAUUUGAAAAAUGUGCGAGGCAUUACAUGCUCUACUUUUAGAGAGGCGUGUGAACAAUUAGGAUUAAUUGAGCACGACAGAUCACUUGAUCAUUGCCUGACUGAAGCUGCCACAUUUCAGAUGCCUUGUGCUCUUAGACGCUUGUUUGCCACUCUCUUAGUAUUUUUUGAGGUUACAAAAAUCCGAGAGUUGUGGGACAAACACCUGGAGUCGAUGUCUGAGGAUUACCGAUGUUCCCAGCCCAACGAGGCAAUACUUGAGCAGAUGGUCCUUAGAGACAUCAGGGAUUUGUUGCAUUCCAUGGGGAAGGAUAUUAAAACCUAUGGCCUUCCGGAGCUGGUUGAUACAAAUGCUUUUCUAGGCGAUGAGUGCAUGGAGGUUAGAGAGGAGAGGGAGGUCAGUGUGGACCAAGAACAUAUUGAUCUUAUCAACUCUUUAAACAGUGAGCAACUAGCUGGAUUUAAUGACAUCAUGGACCAUAUCAUGAACAAAAGAAGCCAAGUCUUCUUUCUCGAUGCUCCAGGAGGCACUGGGAAGACAUAUUUGUUCAAGGCAUUGCUUGCUAAGGUGCGUUCGAUGGGUGAGAUAGACAUUGCCACUGCUACAUCAGGUAUAGCAGCCUCGAUAUUACCUGGAGGGCGUACUGCACACUCUAGGUUCAAAAUACCCAUUAAACUCACCGACAACAGCAUGUGUGGUUUCACAAAGCAAAGUGGUACGGCAGAAUUGCUGAAAGAGGCGGCCUUGAUAAUUUGGGAUGAAUUUGCCAUGACAAAGCGUCAAGCCGUCGAGGCGCUUGAUAGGUCACUCCAAGACAUAAUGGGAUGUGCUUUGCCAUUUGGGGGGAAGAUUGUCGUUUUUGGUGGAGAUUUUAGGCGGGUCCUUCCGGUGGUUCCAAAAGGGACAAGAGCACAGAUCACAGAUGCUACAAUACAGAGAUCCUACAUAUGGCAGAAGAUUCAUAAGAUAAACCUUACACGUAACAUGAGAUCACAAGCUGACCCUUUGUUCUCUGAGUAUCUCUUAAGGAUU
rnacentral:rRNA from 1 species